UCUAGAUCCAAAUUUAGGUAAUCUGAACAAAUAAAAUAAGGUAAUAUGGCUCUUUUUUCUAGUUUCCAAAAGCCGAUCUUUUUAAGUGACAAUCAUAUUGAUAUUGGUCUUCUCUUGUAGAGAUCCCUAUCGAUAUAGGUAGCCACAGCUUUUAGACGAGAGAAAUGGAGAGAGAGUUCAAAUAAAAUCGAACUUGACUUUUAUGGUAAACCGUAAGCAACAAGAUAAGUCCAAAAUUUUCCAAAGUAAUCUUAAAAAGACUAUCCGUGUUAUUCAUUAAUGGAAAGGAAGGAAAUCAAUUUAAGAAACCCAAAAUGUUAACCCAACGGUCAUGGUAAUUUGCUUUCCUUAAAAUGUAAAUCCAGACAAACUUCCAAGGUCCCUCUCGAUGAAACACUCCUCUCCCUUUCCUCUCGAUUAAAGCUCUCAACCGCAGGCUGCGUCUCCCGUCUUCUUCUUCAACUGCAAUGCCACCUCCGAGCUCCCUCUCUUCUUCAAGCGCUGACCUGCGGAACGAAGGCGGUCCAGCCCUAUUCGCUGGUCGGUGUUCUCAUAUGAGGUCUUUGAAACAUCCUCUUCUCUCUUUCUUUGGCUAGGGCUCUGCGUCUGCCAUGGCCAACGCAGCUCUUAUUGGACAAGGUCAUGUGCAAGAUGUAGACCUAACAGGAGAGCAAGAUUUGCUUUGCUUUGAUUAAUAGGUGAGUCUCACUUCACGAAGGAUGACCAUUCCGCUAGCAAUGGUUUGAAAGCACUUGAUGCGAUGUUCAGACAUCACCGAUUCACUAACCAGGGUCCGGGAAGGGGUUCAGUAUCAUCAAAAUUCGGUGGGAGAAUCUCAACUAUGGUUGUAAAUGAGAUGAACAAAGUAGGCUUUGUUGCAGCUUCGCAUGUUGGCAAGGUGAUGCGUUGAUUCCCUUCUUUUUUCCUUUCUAAGCAGCUGGUGUUUUUUCCAUUCUACAGGAGUCAUGGACUGUUUAGGAUGCCUCAGCUGCAUACAUCACUAAAUAGGAGCAGCAGAGGAAUAGAAACUGUUAUGGUUCAUCAGCAACUUAGUAGGUAGCUGAAACCACUUGUAUUUUCACCUAUUGCAGUUUUCUUGAGAUAAAAUCAUGGACAAGAAAGUGUGGGCAGGCUGCCAUUUACGCACCCAAUUUGAGUCUCAUUCCAUACUAGACCUGUUUGCAUGCUGGUUUGAGGGGGGCUAUAGCUUAGACAACACGUGCUUUUCUCAAUUAUUGAUUCAUGAGUGCUGCUUCUAUAGUCUUCCCAAGGUUGCAUUUUCCAUAUUUCAAACAACGCACACAGUGAACGAUCCGUUGACAGAACAGUCGCUUGAAUGCUCACAGCGAGUAACAAGAGCACGGAGCACACUGGCAGAUUCCUUGGGGAAACCUCAAUGUUUUAGUAGUCUUCUCUUGUUCCCCAUAAAUGUCAUCUUGGGAUUGUAAAAAUUGGGUCUGACCGCGCUGUUUCUUUGAGGUACAAAAGGAGAUUGAAAAGAAGAAAUGCAUUUAGGAAUUUUUCAUUUUUGGGACCAAGCUAUAAUCUCAAAAUUUUAUCAAGGGGUAAUAUUGGUAAGACUAAAUUAUGUCCAGGCAAGACUAAAUUAUCUCCCAAAUCUGCUUUCUAUAAUUUCUCGGCCAUGAGGGUCCAUCGUUUCUCGCAUUUCUAUUAUUAAAAAUUUAUUUUUGUAUUUUUUGCAUUUUACUUUUUAAGAUUUAUUUUCGCAAUUUGCCAAGAUUUUCCUGAGAUUUUACACUUUACCUUUGCAUUUUUUGUUGUAAAGAUUUUGUUUUCAUGUUUUCCGUAGUUUACUUUUACAAUUUUAUUUUUUAAAAUUUAUUGAGAUUUUCUUGAGAUUUUAAAGUUUGCCCAUAGUGCGAGCUUUGUUGCAACGCAGUUCAUUCUACCGUAUCUAUUUUCUAGAUUCCACGUUCUAGAUCCAAAUUUAGGUAAUCUGAACAAAUAAAAUAAGGCUCUUUUUUCUAGUUUCCAAAAGCCGAUCUUUUUAAGUGACAAUCAUAUUGAUAUUGGUCUUCUCUUGUAGAGAUCCCUAUCGAUAUAGGUAGCCACAGCUUUUAGACGAGAGAAAUGGAGAGAGAGUUCAAAUAAAAUCGAACUUGACUUUUAUGGUAAACCGUAAGCAACAAGAUAAGUCCAAAAUUUUCCAAAGUAAUCUUAAAAAGACUAUCCGUGUUAUUCAUUAAUGGAAAGGAAGGAAAUCAAUUUAAGAAACCCAAAAUGUUAACCCAACGGUCAUGGUAAUUUGCUUUCCUUAAAAUGUAAAUCCAGACAAACUUCCAAGGUCCCUCUCGAUGAAACACUCCUCUCCCUUUCCUCUCGAUUAAAGCUCUCAACCGCAGGCUGCGUCUCCCGUCUUCUUCUUCAACUGCACUGCCACCUCCGAGCUCCCUCUCUUCUUCAAGCGCUGACCUGCGGAACGAAGGCGGUCCAGCCCUAUUCGCUGGUCGGUGUUCUCAUAUGAGGUCUUUGAAACAUCCUCUUCUCUCUUUCUUUGGCUAGGGCUCUGCGUCUGCCAUGGCCAACGCAGCUCUUGUAUAAAUAGGCCAUCAUAAUCUGAUUGUAGAAGCUAUUUACGGGACAAAUUAUGUUCAACAUAAUAUGUCCUGAAGCCAGGGAUGUAAAUGGGUUGGCUGAUUCGAUUGUUGAGCUCAAACUAGACCCAUUUAGUUGGAUCUGCUAACUCCUAAAGGAUUUGAACCUGUACCUGAAUCCAAAUUUUGGAAUUCUCAUCCGCCUCUGGCUCAUCAAAUAUUGGAGUUUUGAUCCAGGAAUUCUCAUCCGCAGCUUGCCCAUCAAACAUUGGAUUUUUGAUCCAGGAAUUUUCAUCCGCCGCUGGCCCAUCAAACGUUGCAUUUUUUAUCCAGGAAUUCUCAUCCGCCGCUGGCCCAUCAAACGUUGCAUUUUUUAUCCAGGAAUUCUCAUCCGCCGCUGGCCCAUCAAACGUUGCAUUUUUUAUCCAGGAAUUCUCAUCCGCGGCUUGCCCAACAAACUUUGGAUUUCUUUAUCCAGGAAUUCUCAUCCGUCGCUUGCCAUCAAACAUCGGAUUUUUUAUCCAGGAAGUCUCAUCCUCCCAAAGCAAACAUUAAGCCAAAUAGAAAAAGGGCAUCAUGCUACAAUCAAAAUUCUGGAAUUAUCAUUCCAAAAUUUGGUCAGGGGGAGCAAAACCUUAUAUUCCUAGAUAGCUUCUCUCGGUCGUCUCCAUUCUCCGUCUUGUCUUUUAAUCUGUCCUUGGGCGGAAUUUUUCCCGAUGCUAGGCGGUUGGUAGUGGUUGAAACAUUUAACCUUUCCAGCAUUACCAGGCACAUAUGGUAGCAGGGAUCCAUCGUUGGGAACCAGCUAGGCUGAUCAUGCAGAUUUAAAGUUUGCACAAACAUAUCGCUGCCAAAUUCAUUUUAUUUGUUCCACAUGAGGAACGGAAAGAGGACGCCAGCCGCCGACAGCGAGUCUGUCCGUGCCGAAAUCGCCCAGUUCACAGUUGGUUGGAGCAAGCUGUCGAUCGUAGGAUGUAGAAGUUUAUGGGGGCUAAAAGAGUGGUCUGAACCCAAGGGUUUUCGCCCUUGCGAUCGUGGAAGGAUGCUUUUUUUUGUUGAUCUUGAAUCUUGAUCCGUCUGUCGAUCGUGGAAUGGAAAAGUUUGUGGGUGCUGAGAGAGCGGCCUGACCCCAAGGGGCUUUCACCCUUGCGAUCGUGGAAGGAUGCUUUUUUUUUUUUUUAUCUUGAAUCUUGAUCCCUCGAUCGAUCGAGAUGGAAAAGUUUGUGGGUGCUGAGAGAGCGGUCUGACCUUUUUCGCCCUUGCGAUCGUGGAAGGAUGCUUUUCUUGUUGAUCUUGAAUUCGCGUUGCCGUGGAAGGAUUCUUUUUUGACGUUAUUUUGUGAAUUCUUGAAGUUUAUCCUACAAAAAUAAAUGGAAAAUGUAUGAAGAGCGAUUCCAAGUUCCAACCGGGGGAUCGAAUACAAGCGCUUCCGAGCCUGCAGGAAGGAGGUCGGAGACUCGGAAGAAAAGAGGAAGGAGGUCGGAGACUCGGAAGAAAAGAGGGAGGAGGUCGGAGACUCGGAAGAAAAGAGGAGAGAGUCAGAACUCGCAGCACGGCAGCAGCGGGUUCGAUGUUGGUUGAUCGACAGAAGGGCCAAGAUGGUCUCUGAACCUGCCAUCAACAGCUUUGAGGUCGAGACCGGUGGUUUUAUCAGCAUCUUCUUCCUCUGCUUUUGUCAUGGUGCCGGGCCAUUCCUAGUUACCGUGUAAGAUCAUCGAGUCAAUGACUAAAUAGGAGGAGAAAAAUGUUGUUUACUGAAGCCGUGGGACGAUGAAGGCCUCACUGCUAGAUUCUGUUCAUAUUCUAAUGAUUUCUCCUGCGCAGCAGCACAGGCAUUUAUUCAUUGCAGUACAGCUACAGUUUUUUUUGUUGUGAGGUCUGAACCCAAGGGUUUUCGCCCUUGCGAUCGUGGAAGGAUGCUUUUUUUUGUUGAUCUUGAAUCUUGAUCCCUCUGUCGAUCGUGGAAUGGAGAAGUUUGUGGGUGCUGAGAGAGCGGUCUGACCUUUCUCGCCCUUGCGAUCGUGGAAGGAUGCUUUUCUUGUUGAUCUUGAAUUCGCGUUGCCGUAGAAGGAUUCUUUUUUGACGUUACUUCGUGAAUUCUUGAAGUUUAUCCUACAAAAAUAAAUGGAAAAUGUAUGAAGAGCGAUUCCAAGUUCCAACCGGGGGAUCGAAUACAAGCGCUUCCGAGAAGAAAGAGAGAGAGACAGCGAGAGUACCAGAUAAGCCAAGGGAAUUUUCUCGCUUAGAUCAUUCCUCGACUAAGCCCACAGAGAAAGGAGGGAGCGACAUUAGAAUCGGAAGAAGAAGGCGUUCGAGAUCGGAGGGGAAGUCCCACCAGAGAGACGCGUCUACGGUUUCCGGUCCGGCGACCUGGUUGAUUGCUGCUGCGACGGUCGCCAUCCCGGGAGAAAACCCUAAUCCCGCCGGAGAUUGCCGAGUGGUAAAAUAGAGGCCAGAAGAAGGAGAGCUAGGCCUAGAGCACGGAACGAAGAGGGGUCGCCAGUGUGUCAUGUGGAGUCAACUUCGGUUCAGCCCACCCUUCUAUUGAUCCCAGUUUGAU